AGCAUCUAUACGGUGAAACUAGCGAAUGGCUCAUUAAAUCAGUUAUCGUUUAGUUUGAUAGUACUUCUUUACUUGGAUAACCGGUGGUAAUUCUAGAGACUAAUACAUGCUAAAAACCCCGACUCCGGGAGGGGUGUAUUUAUUAGAUAAAAAACCAAUGCCCUCCGGCUCCUUGGUGAAUCAUGAUAACUUAACGAAUCGCAUGGCCUUGCGCCGGCGAUGGUUCAUUCAAUUUCUGCCCUAUCAACUUUCGAUGGUACGAUAGUGGCCUACCAUGGUUUCAACGGGUAACGGGGAAUUAGGGUUCUAUUCCGGAGAGGGAGCCUGAGAAACGGCUACCACAUCCAAGGAAGGCAGCAGGCGCGCAAAUUACCCAAUCCCAACACGGGGAGGUAGUGACAAUAAAUACUGAUACAGGGCUCUUUAGGGUCUUGUAAUUGGAAUGAGUACAAUUUAAAUCCCUUAACGAGGAACAAUUGGAGGGCAAGUCUGGUGCCAAGCAGCCGCGGUAAUUCCAGCUCCAAUAGCGUAUAUUAAAAGUUGUUGCAGUUAAAAAGCUCGUAGUUGAACCUUGGGUCUGGCUGGCCGGUCCCGCCUCACCGCGUGCACUGGUCCGGCCGGACCUUUCCUUCUGGGGAGCCAGAUGCCUUCACUGGGCGUGUCGGGGAACCCAGGACUUUUACUUUGAAAAAAUUAGAAGUGUUCAAAGCAGGCCUAUGCUCGAAUACAUUAGCAUGGAAUAAUAGAAUAGGACGUGUGGUUCUAUUUUGUUGGUUUCUAGGACCGCCGUAAUGAUUAAUAGGGACAGUCGGGGGCAUCAGUAUUCAAUUGUCAGAGGUGAAAUUCUUGGAUUUAUUGAAGACUAACUACUGCGAAAGCAUUUGCCAAGGAUGUUUUCAUUAAUCAGUGAACGAAAGUUAGGGGAUCGAAGACAAUCAGAUACCGUCGUAGUCUUAACCAUAAACUAUGCCGACUAGGGAUCGGACGGUGUUGUUAUUUUGACCCGUUCGGCACCUUACGAGAAAUCAAAGUU
rnacentral:rRNA from 1 species